GCUUAACCGAAGAAGUGCAUCGGAAACUGGGUGACUUGAGUGCAGAAGAGGACAGUGGAACUCCAUGUGUAGCGGUGGAAUGCGUAGAUAUAUGGAAGAGCACCAGUGGCGAAGGCGGCUGUCUGGUCUGCAACUGACGCUGAGGCUCGAAAGCAUGGGUAGCGAACAGGAUUAGAUACCCUGGUAGUCCAUGCCGUAAACGAUGAGUGCUAGGUGUUGGAGGGUUUCCGCCUUUCAGUGCCGGAGCUAACGCAUUAAGCACUCCGCCUGGGGAGUACGACCGCAAGGUUGAAACUCAAAGGAAUUGGCGGGGGCCCGCACAAGCGGUGGAGCAUGUGGUUUAAUUCGAAGCUACGCGAAGAACCUUACCAGGUCUUGACAUCUUGCGCUAACCUAAGAGAUUAGGCGUUCCCUUCGGGGACGCAAUGACAGGUGGUGCAUGGUCGUCGUCAGCUCGUGUCGUGAGAUGUUGGGUUAAGUCCCGCAACGAGCGCAACCCUUGUUACUAGUUGCCAGCAUUCAGUUGGGCACUCUAGUGAGACUGCCGGUGACAAACCGGAGGAAGGUGGGGAUGACGUCAGAUCAUCAUGCCCCUUAUGACCUGGGCUACACACGUGCUACAAUGGUCGGUACAACG
rnacentral:rRNA from 1 species